CCCUGGUUGGCUCAGUUGGAAGAGCGCUCCACCUGUAAUGGAGAAGUCUCGCGUUCAAUACCCGGACAAGGCG
rnacentral:tRNA from 1 species